rnacentral:rRNA from 1 species
GUCUGUGAUGCCCUUAGAUGUUCUGGGCCGCACGCGCGCUACACUGAUGAAGUCAACGAGUAAUUUUUUCCUUGGCCGGAAGGUCCGGGUAAUCUUUUGAAACUUCAUCGUGCUGGGGAUAGUCCAUUGCAAUUAUUGGACUUCAACGAGGAAUUCCUAGUAAGCGCGAGUCAUCAGCUCGCGUUGAUUACGUCCCUGCCCUUUGUACACACCGCCCGUCGCUACUACCGAUUGAACGUCUUAGUGAGACCUCCGGAUUGAUUCCAGCUGGCUGGCAACGGCCACGCAGGAUUGUUGAAAAGUUGGUCAAACUUGGUCGUUUAGAGGAAGUAAAAGUCGUAACAAGGUUUCCGUAGGUGAACCUGCGGAAGGAUCAUUAUUAAAACGUUCGUUUACGGGAUCGAACACUAAAAUAUAACCCCAGUUGGCGAUAGACUUGGUUUGGGGUCCGAAGCGAGGAGAUGCCGGGGUGAUGGUGCUCGUGCCGCGAUACUAACGCGAGACGAACACCAUCAUCCGCACAGUCUCUGAGCGAUAACGACUCUUUCCAGCUCUUUGCCGGCGCAAAACAUACUUCAAACUUUUAUCGUCUGAAUCUUUUUGUUGUUCUUUUUGAACUCCAAUAUGAAUUAUUAAACAACUUUUAACAACGGAUCUCUUGGCUCUCGCAUCGAUGAAGAACGCAGCGAAAUGCGAUAAGUAAUGUGAAUUGCAGAAUUCAGUGAAUCAUCGAAUCUUUGAACGCACAUUGCGCUCCUCGGCAUUCCGUGGAGCAUGCCUGUUUGAUGCGCCCGAGAAAAAACUGACCGGCUUGUCCGGACCGUUUUUGAGCUCUCUCACAAUGUGAGUAGUUCAAAGUCACAGAUUUCAAGAGGUCGCUGCUUUUAGAGGACGGCUCAAUGACUUUGUCAGCCGGCGUCAAAAGAUAUAUCUCCCAUGUGAACUGAUAGUAUAGUACACUUUUCAGAUAAUGUGGGGGCUUUUGACCCACCGACGGACGGAGGUAUUGAACACGAAUCUGGGCUAAGCGCAUCUUUAUUGUGUGGAUCAUCCCUUUGGGCUGAUUCCUCAGAAAUUUUGCAUCAAAUCAGGUAGGGUUACCCGCUGAACUUAAGCAUAUUAAUAAGCGGAGGAAAAGAAACUAACAAGGAUUCCCUCAGUAACGGCGAGUGAAGCGGGAAGAGCACAAUUUUGAAAUCCGGGUGCUUUUUGCACUUCGGAGUUGUAGCCUACAGACGUGUUUUCUGUCGCACCUUUGGGUUAAAUCCCUUGGAAUGGGGUAUCAUAGAGGGUGAAAAUCCCGUCUCUGACCAAAGGCUUAAUGCGGCUCUGUGAUGCAUGUUCGAAGAGUCGCGUUGUUUGGGAAUGCAGCGCAAAUUGGGUGGUAAAUUUCAUCCAAAGCUAAAUAUUGGCGAGAGACCGAUAGCGAACAAGUACCGUGAGGGAAAGAUGAAAAGAACUUUGAAAAGAGAGUUAAACAGUACGUGAAAUUGUUAAAAGGGAAACGUAUGGAAAUCAGAUUUAUGCUGCCUUUCACAACGGUUUCAUUAUGAUGCGGACUAGGGCGACCUCUGUGGUCGUUUUAGCGCCUGUUUUAUUAUGGAUCCGAGAUGUGUUUGGUGGAUGUCGACGUCAGUUUGCCGGCCGUCAAUUCAAUCGUACGUUGCGACCCGUUCACAUUUAUGUGCUCGAGUGCUGUGCUGAUUGGGCGGUGGUGGACUGAGGACCGCAGCGUCGUCCGAUUUGUUUCGGACGCUACGGGGUUACCCGUGAACGCUUAGGACCGUCCGACUUAAUGGUUUUAUACGACCCGUCUUGAAACACGGACCAAGGAGUCUAACAUAUAUGCGAGUAUUUGGGUGGUAAAACCCAUGUGCGUAAUGAAAGUGAACUUUAGGUGGGAUCCGCAAGGUGCACCAUCAACCGAUCUUGAAAUUCGUUGGAUAGAUUUGAGUCAGAGCAUAUCUGUUGGGACCCGAAAGAUGGUGAACUAUACUUGAAUAGGGUGAAGUCAGAGGAAACUCUGAUGGAGGCUCGUAGCGAUUCUGACGUGCAAAUCGAUCGUCAAAUUUGAGUAUAGGGGCGAAAGACUAAUCGAACC